CUGAAGUACUUUAUUUUUUAAUUGUUCAGCCACGAGGAGGGGUGGAAGAAGGCCCUACAGUAUUGAGAAAGGCUGGUCUGCUUGAGAAACUUAAAGAACAAGAGUGUGAUGUGAAGGAUUAUGGGGACCUGCCCUUUGCUGACAUCCCUAAUGACAGUCCCUUUCAAAUUGUGAAGAAUCCAAGGUCUGUGGGAAAAGCAAGCGAGCAGCUGGCUGGCAAGGUGGCAGAAGUCAAGAAGAACGGAAGAAUCAGCCUGGUGCUGGGCGGAGACCACAGGUCUUGUUGAAUAACUGUGUCUAUGGGAAUCUGGCACAAAGGAAGUAACCAAGGCCAUAAGAAGAGAGAAAAUUUAGAAAUAUAGACAGAAAAGCAUUGACCUAUAUUUUAUAUCAAAUUUUCUGCCUUUAAA
rnacentral:lncRNA from 1 species